rnacentral:rRNA from 1 species
CGUCGAACGGCUGACUGACGGCCUUUAGAAAUAGAGGUUUUCCCGCAAGGGACAGUAGUCGAGGUGCUGCAUGGCUGUCGUCAGCUCGUGUCGUGAGAUGUUGGGUUAAGUCCCGCAACGAGCGCAACCCUUGUCCUGUGUUGCAACUUACAGGCACUCUCAGGAGACCGCCAGCGAUAAGCUGGAGGAAGGUGGGGAUGACGUCAAGUCAUCAUGGCCUUUAUGUCCAGGGCUACACACGUGCUACAAUGGACGGUACAAACCGUCGCAAACCCGCGAGGGGGAGCAAAUCGGAAAAAAACCGUUCUCAGUUCGGAUUGCAGGCUGCAACCCGCCUGCAUGAAGCUGGAAUCGCUAGUAAUGGUAUAUCAGAACGAUACCGUGAAUACGUUCCCGGGCCUUGUACACACCGCCCGUCACAUCACGAAAGUGGGUUGUACUAGAAGUCUGCGCGCCAACCGCAAGGAGGCAGCGGCCCAAGGUAUGACUCAUGAUUGGGGUGAAGUCGUAACAAGGUAGGCGUAGCGAG